rnacentral:lncRNA from 1 species
UUCUGUUGGAUGCGUGCCUUUCCUUUGCUUCGCUUUGGUAUGUUUGGUUUGGUUCGCCUGCUUUCUUCUUUUAUGGUUGCCGGAUCUCUUCCUCCACCAACACUUCUAACCCUUUCUAUUUUCUAGCGCUAGGAAGGAUUUGGGCUCCCCUUCCCAUUCGCCUCCUCCUUAUGUGUCUAGAGAGAGAAACUGUGGCCUACCGGGAGGGUGGGUCAAAUGAGUAACAAGCAAGCUUGCAAGGCUUCCAUGGGGGGUUUGGAGGUUAAGCUGCUGCUGUACAUGUAACCACAACAGCAACGUGUGCCAGUGUUGUGCUCUAUACUUCUAUCCGCCCAUCCCCAUCACCUUCUUGCCCUUCUUGGUGUGUACGUAUGUGUGUUCCAGCAUUCAGUUGUUGCUUGCUCUUGAUACCAUUUGUUUCUUCUCCUUUUCGUAUUGGGUACGGGAGGGAUGUAGGCUGGCUGUAUUGUAUGGUCGCGAGGAUGUAUUUGUUUUGUUUAUGGGAUGGAUGGAUGGAUGGAUGGAGUCAGUGGGUGGACUGUGGCUGUCCUGUCGCGCCUGGGGUGGGAGCAGAUGGCGAGAUGGGGAAGCAAUGGGCCAAUGGCGACUGAAGCAGACUGGGCAGGUCCACCUGGCGGGGAUGCCGGCCUACGUCACUGCCCCUUUCGUUUUCUUUUUUUUUUGGAAUGUAUAAUUUGUGCUUACUGCUCAUAUAUGUAUCGUUUAAACAAAGUCAUAACGAUGGAAUGGGCGUGCAUCAUCGGAGAAUGAUGUGUCAGCCGCAUUCUUUAGGUUUCCGAGUUUUGACAGCGUUAACGUAGUGGAGCCACAAGUGACAAGCUGGGCUACUGUUCAGAUUUGUUAAAGUGUUCAUAACUGACUAUGGCUUAGAUUAAGCAAAUACUAAUUUGUGAGUCCUAAUGGGAAAUAUACUGAACAUGGAGAGAUAUGCUCAGUUCUCUACUCCAUCAGUUCAGAAAUAA